GGCGAGAUAGCUCAGCUGGUAGAGCAUACGACUGAAAAUCGUAGUGUCCCCGGUUCGAUCCCGGGUCUCGCCACCA
rnacentral:tRNA from 1 species